UUUUCCUACGGGACGCAGCAGUGGGGAAUAUUGGGCAAUGGGCGCAAGCCUGACCCAGCAACGCCGCGUGAAGGAAGAAGGCUUUCGGGUUGUAAACUUCUUUUGUAAGGGACGAAGCAAGUGACGGUACCUGACGAAUAAGCCACGGCUAACUACGUGCCAGCAGCCGCGGUAAUACGUAGGUGGCAAGCGUUGUCCGGAUUUACUGGGUGUAAAGGGCGUGCAGCCGGGAAGACAAGUCAGAUGUGAAAUCCCGCGGCUCAACCGCGGAACUGCAUUUGAAACUGUUUUUCUUGAGUACCGGA
rnacentral:rRNA from 1 species